CUACACCUACGGGAGGCAGCAGUGAGGAAUAUUGGUCAAUGGGCGCGAGCCUGAACCAGCCAAGUAGCGUGAAGGAUGACUGCCCUACGGGUUGUAACCUUCUUUUAUAAAGGAAUAAAGUGAGGCACGUGUGCCUUUUUGUAUGUACUUUAUGAAUAAGGAUCGGCUAACUCCGUGCCAGCAGCCGCGGUAAUACGGAGGAUCCGAGCGUUAUCCGGAUUUAUUGGGUUUAAAGGGAGCGUAGAUGGGUUGUUAAGUCAGUUGUGAAAGUUUGCGGUUCACCCGUAAA
rnacentral:rRNA from 1 species